AUUGAACGCUGGCGGAAUGCUUUACACAUGCAAGUCGAACGGUAACAGGUUAAGCUGACGAGUGGCGAACGGGUGAGUAAUACAUCGGAACGUGCCCAGUCGUGGGGGAUAACGUAGAGAAAUUUACGCUAACACCGCAUACGAUCUAAGGAUGAAAGCGGGGGACCGUAAGGCCUCGCGCGACUGGAGCGGCCGAUGUCAGAUCAGGUAGUUGGUGGAGUAAAGGCCUACCAAGCCGACGAUCUGUAGCUGGUCUGAGAGGACGACCAGCCACACUGGGACUGAGACACGGACCAGACUCCUACGGGAGGCAGCAGUGGGGAAUUUUGGACAAUGGGCGCAAGCCUGAUCCAGCCAUUCCGCGUGCAGGAUGAAGGCCCUCGGGUUGUAAACUGCUUUUGUACAGAACGAAAAGGUCUGGGUUAAUACCCUGGGCUCAUGACGGUACUGUAAGAAUAAGCACCGGCUAACUACGUGCCAGCAGCCGCCGUAA
rnacentral:rRNA from 1 species